GGUCAUGAGCGCCAGCGUCAAGCCCCGGCUCGCUGGCCGGCAACCCUCCAACCGCGGUGGGGUGCUCCGGGUGAGGACCAGGUUGAGUAGCCGCUAGCGAGCGGUUGCCGGCAAGCGCGGGUC
rnacentral:ncRNA from 2 species